ensembl:lincRNA
UCUAAAGUGAGUAAAUAACUGUAAGAGAUUUCUAGUACAAUUGAAACAGACUUUGCUCUUUCUGUUUUCCCCUCCUGUAAAAUAGAAAAAUUAAAAUCAAUGGCUUAUUUAAAUGUAUUAAGCUAAACAAGACAUAUUUAACAAUGCUACUUAUGUAACACACACAUAAGGUGAAAGAUAGAGUGAGAUUAAAAAUGAAAGGCUAGACAUACACUUUAAUUCUUAAAAAAUGCUGGGAUUAGGAAUCAUACCUGGGCUUCAGUUCCAGCACCAUUGCUUUGUGGAGCCAUACCCAUGGCUAAGUAACUAUCUAGGCAUCUCUGUUUCUUCAUCCAUGAUGAAGGUCUCAUGGUUCCUGCCUUCUUCAAAUGUUUCCCUGACUAUAAAGUGAUAUGACAUAAUUUAAAAUGCUUUGGGAAACUGUACGAUGUCUCAUAGCAUAACAUAAGUACAUAUGGCCAGGGUAUUAAAAUUUCCAAUUGGAAAAUAGGCACUUUGAAACGGCCAUCAGAACAACAGUCUAGAUACUGUUAGCUUUUGAUGUUCAUAGAUUCUUUUCUCUGCUUAAAAAUAGGGACUUCCUGGGAGAAUUUCUAGAAUUCUUUCCACUUUAUUUCCUUAUGUUAUUUUGUUGCACCUUGCUACUGAGACAAAUUAUUUGACUUUUCUCAGUUUGUAAACUGUGAAACUAGGUAACGUAAUGCUGCAACUCUUUGGGAAGUGAGGGAUGGGAAAGAAAGAAGAGAAACAUUCCUCAGAAUACCCCAGCUGUUGCCCAGCUUCAGAAUUGCGCCGCCUCCUACGAAUGUGAUAUCUAUCCUCUCUCUUGCAGUUCCAGAUGAGCACACCUUCCAGUCCGUCUGCUGCCAACACCACCUAUAGGGGUCCCACAGUAGCCAUUUUCAUUGGGCUAAACAGCAUAAAGAGGCUAUUGUCGGAGAGCAGAUGCAGGAAAAGAUUUUGCCAAAUGGCAUAUUCUAAGUUAACUGCAGGCACCCUAGGGAAUGGAAUUGUAACUGCUUUGGACUUCAGGGGAGCAGGCCUAGCCAGAAAAACCACGUCAAAGUUCUCACAGCAAAACCAAGGGUAAUGUUUUUUGGAUAUUAAUGUGCUCUCUCUCUCUCUUUCUCUCUUUCUCUUUCUUUUCUACCCGCUCACUUUCUCUUUCCGUGUCUGCCUUACUUUGGGUGGAAGUGAGGGUAACAGAAGGAAUAGAAGGAUAUCUUCAUUGAACUUAAUUUUUUUCUGAAAUACAAAUUUAUUUAAAAUUGGUCUCUGAGGAUUUGCAAGUUUUUACUAUUGGGCACUGUGACAGUUUAAACUGUAGCUUCUUGGAAUUGAAUCUAAAUCUAUGAAAAUAAAUCCUAUUGGGAAGCUCAUUUCUUAAUUACAGGACAUAUUAGUAUCUAGCUUUAAGAGUUUUGUAGUGGGUUAAAGAAAUAUUUUAGUUAGAAGAAAGCUUUCUCUUAAUCUUUUUGCUAUAGUGACAUCAAUGAAGUAUCAUAACCAUUAGUUUAAAAUAAAAAUAACAUAAAGAGAAAAAUGUGCCGGAACAAAAAGAGAUGCUUUGAAUACUUUGGAAAUGAGUCAGAGAAGAAAUAUAAAUUUUAAAAAUAACAAUUCUGUUUUCUUUUAUGUGGAGUAAAUCCUGAGGAAGACUCAUAUACUGCAGUGCUGAUUUUAUUCUAGGUAGAACUGUGGAUAGGCAAAAUUUUUUUGCAUGUAAAAGAAAAUUAGGGUGAAAUUAACUCUGAUCUGAAUUGGACUUCGGUAAGUAACAGCAAUUCCCAAAGUUAAUGGUUAGAUAUUAAAUUUUACAUAUUUGAGUAACAUAUUUAAAUAUAUUAUCUAAAUUCAUUUAAGACCUUCCCUGCUAUGAAGAAAUUUUACUUACUCUGAGUUGAAAUUGAGGAAUAAUGCAAAUGAAGAGUCUCCCUGUAGAAAGUACUUGAGUCCCUGGGUCUGUGUGCCGUGAAACUGUAGUGAGUCUUCACCAUUAUUCUACUCCAGGGAAUAUGGUCUCAUAACAGCCUUUCCCUCCUGUUCAUUCCCCCAAGGCUGUGUCACUGCAUCUUUUCAUACCUUCAAUUCAGGCCACCAUGCCAAACAUUCAUCACUUUGUAGAUGUUCGAGGAGCACCUGCCACCCGCCAGGCACUUUGCUAAAUACUUGGAAUAGGGUAGCAGACCGGGAGUACAAGUGGUCUGUGUCCUCAAAAAGCUGUCAGUUUCGAGGAAAGUAGAGGACUGGGCAAGUAUAUUAAGAGUGAAAUGCAUGUUACAAAAAAGUUGGGGCCAGCCGUGGUGGCUCAGGCCUAUAAUCCCAGCACUUUGGGAGGCUAAGGUGGGUGGAUCACUUGAAGUCAGGAGUUCAAGACCAGCCUGGCCAACAUACUGAAACCCCGUCUCUACUGAAAAUACAAAAAAUUAUCAUGGCAGGGUAGUUUGUGCGUAUACUCCCAGCUACUCGAAAGCCUGAGGCAGGAGGAUUGCUUGAGACUGGGGAGGCAAAUGUUACAGUGAGCUGAGAUUGUGCCACUGCAUUCCAGCCUAGGCAACAGAGCAAGACUGACUCCAUCUCAAAAAGCAAACAAACAAAUAAACAAACAAACAAGAAACUUGGAAGUAAAAGGUGCUGAGGAAGUAAAUAUGACAGAGGGAACUAGCAAAGACCUUCAUGAUUCUAGAAAAAUGUAUGAUCUUCUUUUUGAUCCCCUAGGGAAAUGGAACAUUUAUAAAAUAAUAAUGCUGAUAAUAAUAGUA